GAUGAACGCUGGCGGUGUGCCUAAUACAUGCAAGUCGAGCGAACGGACAAUAAGCUUUCUCUCCUGAGGUUGGCGGCUGGCGGGUGAGUAACGCAUAGAUAAGCUUCUUAUAUUUCGUGGAGAACUUCGUGAAACAGCUUCUGCUACUACAGCAUAUAUUGUACCGGAUAGUUCAAUAGUUCUUCACGCCUUUCCUGUCACUAUUAGCUGGUGCCGGGCCGGAUUAGCUAGUUGGUAAGGUAACGGCUUACCAAGGCUACGAUGCGUAGCUGACCUGAGAGGGUGAUCGGCCACACUGGAACUGAGACACGGUCCAGACUCCUACGGGAGGCAGCAGUAGGGAAUAUUCGGCAAUGGGCGCAAGCCUGACGGAGCAAUACCGCGUGAGUGAUGAAGGUCUUCGGAUCGUAAAGCCCUGUUAUUAGGAAAGAAAAGAUGUGUAAGUAAACACGGACGUUUUGACGGUACCUAAUGAGAAAGCAACGGCUAACUACGUG
rnacentral:rRNA from 1 species